rnacentral:rRNA from 1 species
AUUGAACGCUGACGGCAGGCCUAACACAUGCAAGUCGAGCGGAGUGGCGGACGGGUGAGUAAUGCCUAGGAAUCUGCCUGGUCGUGGGGGAUAACGUUCGGAAACGGGAGCUAAUACCGCAUACUAUCAGAUGAGGCUAUGUCGGAUUAGGUAGUUGGUGGGGUAAAGGACUACUAAGGCGACGAUCCGUAACUGGUCUGAGAGGAUGAUCAGUCACACUGGAACGGAGACACGGUCCAAGCUCCUACGGGAGGCGGAAGUGGGGAUAAGUGGACAAUGGGCGAAAGCCUGUGCCAAACAUGCCGCGUGUGUGAAGAAGGUUUUCGGAUUGUAAAACGCUUUAAGUUGGAAGGCGUUACCAACAGAAUAAGCACCGGCUAACUUCGUGCCAGCAGCCGCGGUAAUUC